GGGAGUAUUCCAGAGCGGCCAAAUGGGGCAGACUGUAAAUCUGCUGGUUUUCACCUUCGGUGGUUCGAAUCCAUCUGCUCCCACCA
rnacentral:tRNA from 1 species